AUUGAACGCUGGCGGCAUGCUUUACACAUGCAAGUCGAACGGCAGCACGGGCUUCGGCCUGGUGGCGAGUGGCGAACGGGUGAGUAAUGCAUCGGAACGUGCCCAUUUGUGGGGGAUAACUACGCGAAAGCGUGGCUAAUACCGCAUACGCCCUGAGGGGGAAAGCGGGGGAUUCUUCGGAACCUCGCGCAAUUGGAGCGGCCGAUGUCAGAUUAGCUUGUUGGUGAGGUAAAGGCUCACCAAGGCGACGAUCUGUAGCGGGUCUGAGAGGAUGAUCCGCCACACUGGGACUGAGACACGGCCCAGACUCCUACGGGAGGCAGCAGUGGGGAAUUUUGGACAAUGGGGGCAACCCUGAUCCAGCCAUGCCGCGUGAGUGAAGAAGGCCUUCGGUUGUAAGCUCUUUCAGCCGGGAAGAAAGCGCACUCUCUAACAUAGGGUGUGGAUGACGGUACCGGAAGAAGAAGCACCGCGUAACUACGUGCCAGCAGCCG
rnacentral:rRNA from 1 species